rnacentral:lncRNA from 1 species
ACAACUAACAACAAUUUAUUGCGAAACUUCAAAUAGCAUCAUGAAACUUCAAGUGGGAUGACUUUGACAAAGGAGAACAACAACAAACUCCAGGGACUAGAUUGCCAUCAAGUAAGGAUGGGCCUUGCAUCAAAACUGCAGGGACUGCCAUCACUGACUGAUGGGGCCUGUAAUGGCUAAAAGCGACAAAACUACAGGGAAUGCCAUCACUGACU